rfam:Bacillus alcalophilus ATCC 27647 = CGMCC 1.3604 strain AV1934 contig00030, whole genome shotgun sequence.
GAAAAGGCGAUGAUGAGAAGAGUACUUGUGCACAAGCAUAACAGAGAACUCCAGAUGGUGGGAAUGGAGAAUGUAAUGGCACAAGGAAACAAGCCUCUGAGCUGUACAAAGGAUCUUUCAAUUGAAAGUGAUGAUGUGCCGGGUUCUCCCGUUAUAGAGAUUAGUAUAACCAUGUUUGAAUGACGUACUUGAAAAGGUUGUUGUAGCGAUACAAUAACAAACUGGGGUGGCACCGCGAACUUUUAACAAUCCGAAGUUUCGUCCCCAAG